AGGCCAAAAGAACUCAGAUUACUC
rnacentral:piRNA from 1 species